CUACGUGCCAGCAGCCGCGGUAAUACGUAGGUGGCAAGCGUUGUCCGGAUUUAUUGGGCGUAAAGCGAGCGCAGGCGGUCAAUUAAGUCUGAUGUGAAAGCCCCCGGCUCAACCGGGGAGGGUCAUUGGAAACUGGUUGACUUGAGUGCAGAAGAGGAGAGUGGAAUUCCAUGUGUAGCGGUGAAAUGCGUAGAUAUAUGGAGGAACACCAGUGGCGAAGGCGACUCUCUGGUCUGUAACUGACGCUGAGGCUCGAAAGCGUGGGUAGCAAACAGGAUUAGAUACCCUGGUAGUCCACGCCGUAAACGAUGAGUGCUAGGUGUUAGACCCUUUCCGGGGUUUAGUGCCGUAGCUAACGCAUUAAGCACUCCGCCUGGGGAGUACGACCGCAAGGUUGAAACUCAAAGGAAUUGACGGGGGCCCGCACAAGCGGUGGAGCAUGUGGUUUAAUUCGAAGCAACGCGAAGAACCUUACCAGGUCUUGACAUCCCUCUGACCGCUCUAGAGAUAGAGCUUUC
rnacentral:rRNA from 1 species